CACACGCAGCGGUGCGGACACGCCGAUGCCGGAUUCGGCUUGCCGAGGACCAGCCACACCACCAGCCACAACGAGAGGCCACCUGGGAGGAAAGAGGAGACUGGGGUGAUGAAAUCAGAGGCAGUGAUGGAAGCAGCAGUGACGAAGACUCUGAUGAGACGCAUCAAAAACAUCUAAGCACCAGAGCUGCAGCUGCAGGAGGGAAACCAGCAGCUCCUCCUUUCUGCUGAACAGCAGCUGAAAGGAAGAAACAAUGAGGUGCAAUCAAAGUCAUUCCUGCACAGGAAGUCCACACAGACGCUGAGGGACUCCGACCAGAGCUGGUACAUUUCACAAUUAGACUGAAGCAAUGCAGACUUUCUGCAUUGAAAGGACAAUUCUACAGAGCUUUGGGUUUAUAAUGUGUUUGUUUUAGUUCAUAGUUUAUUAGUUCUGUCAGUCAUUCAAGUAAAAAUACUGAGUUGCAUGAAUAAAAGUCUUUUCAUACUGGAGAUGGGAACAGGUUUUUUUCUUUCCAUAGAUGCCUGCUAUUGUUGAAUUGUGACAAACUUAAAAUUAUAUCUAUUUUGUCAAAUUUACCAUCUCAUUCUAACUUAACAUCUACUUGAAUAAAAAAUCAUGAUUGAAAAAAUAUUGCUUAUAAUUGGGAAACAAAUUCCGGCGUUAAAGGGUUAACUGUCAUGGUGCCUCUGUCAGACUCCUCCCCCUCCAGCUCUGCUCUGCUCCUGAUCACCGCCAGCUGUCGUCACUCAGCUCAUCACCCUCUGCUGCUCAAAAGGAGACCCAGCUCUGGUUUUCAACGCCAGUUCGUUGCCCCUUAUGGUGACUAAGCCUGGUCUUGUCAUGCUAUGGUUGAAUAUUGUCUUGCUCUCGUUCUGGCUCUAACCAUAUUCUCCUGCCUCAGGAAAACCACUUCACGAGUGACGUCAGUUGGACCCUCUACCAAGCUUGUUGGAAAACCUGAAGACCUCUUGGCCUACGCUAACUGCGCUAACACCUCCAGCCACGCCACAAGCCAUUGUCCAGUCCGGACCUCUUCUAAUCAAAGCCUAAACCAUCCUGGAAGAAACAAAUCAUUUCUUACCUGCCACUUACCUGUCCUAAUUCUGGGUUCGCCACGCUCUGAAAAUCGUGACAUUAACAACUUUUACAGACUGCAGAUGUGCACACACUGGAUGAAUGGAUGGGUUGACAGACAGGUGGAUUCUGGCUUGCAUAUAGGAUCCUGACUCGCAACAGGGGUAAAUUUAUUUGAAGACAUGGACACUAAAUCCCUGCAGUCCUAUGCAACCUGGCAAGUCUGUUUCCAUCACCAACAAUAGUGUCUCUGAAUAAAAACAAAAUAUUGCACUAAGUUCUAGCUGAAAUAUUUAGUGUUAAAUGUAAAAAAAAAAA